rnacentral:rRNA from 1 species
UACGGAGGGUGCAAACGUUGCUCGGAAUCAUUGGGCGUAAAGAGCGCGUAGGCGGUCCGGUAAGUCCGCUGUGAAAGUCAAGGGCUCAACCCUUGAAUGCCGGUGGAUACUGUCGGGCUAGAGUCCGGAAGAGGCGAGUGGAAUUCCUGGUGUAGCGGUGAAAUGCGUAGAUAUCUGGAGGAACACCGGUGGCGAAGGCGGCAUCCUGGACCAACACUGACACUGAGGAGCGAAAGCCAGGGGAGCAAACGGG